rnacentral:rRNA from 1 species
CAUGGAGGGUGAGAAUCCCGUCCGGCUGACCUUCAGGACGUUUUACGAUACGCUUUCAAAGAGUCGAGUUGUUUGGGAUUGCAGCUCAAAAUGGGAGGUAAAUUUCUCCUAAGGCUAAAUACCGGCGAGAGACCGAUAGCGAACAAGUACCGUGAGGGAAAGAUGAAAAGAAUUUUGAAAAGAAAGUCAAACAGUACGUGAAAUUGUUGAAAGGGAAACGAUUGAAGCCAGUCGUACCGACGGGAAUUCAACUUCUCGAGUGCUAAUCGUGGGUGACGUUGAGCCUCACGGCCUUCGUUGCUUGUGUUGUUGGUGCUUUUGGGGUGUACUUUUCCGCAUUGGUAGGUCAGCAUCGAUUUCGAUCGUCAUAAAAUGAUCGGGAGAAUGUAGCUUCGGUCUCGUAUCGGAGUGUUAUAGACCUUGGUAGAUGUGACGAUUGGGAUCGAGGAUUGCAACGAAUACCCUUUGGGCUAUCCGUCUGUCCUCUGAAAGUCGCUCGGGUGUCGAAAGCGUGCUUAUGGCUAUUCGAGUUGGCGGUCAACAGGUUAGAACGUGAUUAUAUUCGUUAAGGAUGUUGACGUAAUGG